GACGAACGCUGGCGGCGUGCCUAAUACAUGCGAGUCGAGCGAAGUUUUUCUGGUGCUUGCACCGGAAAAACUUAGCGGCGAACGGGUGAGUAACACGUAAAGAACCUGCCUCAUAGACUGGGACAACUAUUGGAAACGAUAGCUAAUACCGGAUAACAGCAUUAACUGCAUGGUUGAUGUUUAAAAGUUGGUUUUGCUAACACUAUGAGAUGGCUUUGCGGUGCAUUAGCUAGUUGGUGGGGUAAAGGCCUACCGAGGCGACGAUGCAUAGCCGACCUGAGAGGGUGAUCGGCCACACUGGGACUGAGACACGGCCCAGACUCCUACGGGAGGCAGCAGUAGGGAAUCUUCCGCAAUGGGCGAAAGCCUGACGGAGCAACGCCGCGUGAGUGAAGAAGGAUUUCGGUUCGUAAAGCUCUGUUGUUAGGGAAGAAUGAUUGUGUAGUAACUAUACACAGUAGAGACGGUACCUAACCAGAAAGCCACGGCUAACUACGUG
rnacentral:rRNA from 1 species